rnacentral:rRNA from 1 species
GAUGAACGCUGGCGGCGUGCCUAAUACAUGCAAGUCGAGCGAAUGGAUUAAGAGCUUGCUCUUAUGAAGUUAGCGGCGGACGGGUGAGUAACACGUGGGUAACCUGCCCAUAAGACUGGGAUAACUCCGGGAAACCGGGGCUAAUACCGGAAAACAUUUUGAACCGCAUGGAUCGAAAUUGAAAGGCCGCCUCGGCUGUCACUUAUGGAGGGACCCGCGUCGCAUUAGCUAGUUGGGGAGGUAACGGCUCACCAAGGCAACGAUGCGUAGCCUACCUGAGGGGGUGAUCGGCCCCACUGGGACUGAGACCCGGCCCAGACUCCUACGGGAGGCAGCAGUAGGGAAUCUUCCGCAAUGGACGAAAGUCUGACGGAGCAACGCCGCGUGAGUGAUGAAGGCUUUCGGGUCGUAAAACUCUGUUGUUAGGGAAGAACAAGUGCUAGUUGAAUAAGCUGGCACCUUGACGGUACCUAACCAGAAAGCCACGGCUAACUACGUGCCAGCCGCCGCAGUAA